CAGCAGCCACGGGAAUACGGAGGGUGCAAGCGUUAAUCGGAAUUACUGGGCGUAAAGCGCACGCAGGCGGUCUGACAAGUCAGAUGUGAAAUCCCCGGGCUUAACCUGGGAACUGCAUUUGAAACUGUCAGGCUGGAGUCUUGUAGAGGGGGGUAGAAUUCCAGGUGUAGCGGUGAAAUGCGUAGAGAUCUGGAGGAAUACCGGUGGCGAAGGCGGCCCCCUGGACAAAGACUGACGCUCAGGUGCGAAAGCGUGUGGAGCAAACAGGAUUAGAUACCCCUGUAGUCCCUGUCUCUUAUAC
rnacentral:rRNA from 1 species